AUUGAACGCUAGCGGCAGGCCUAACACAUGCAAGUCGAACGAGUGGCGGACGGGUGAGUAAUGUCUGGGAAACUGACUGAGGGAGGGGGAUAACUACUGGAAACGGUAGCUAAUACCGCAUACCAUCGGAUGUGCCCAGAUGGGAUUAGCUAGUAGGUGGGGGAAAGGCUCACCUAGGCGACGAUCCCUAGCUGGUCUGAGAGGAUGACCAGCCACACUGGUACUGAGACACGGUCCAGACUCCGACGGGAGGCAGCAGUGGGGAAUAUUGCACAAUGGGCGUAAGCCUGAUGCAGCCAUGCCGCGUGUAUGAUGAAGGCCUUCGGGUUGUAAAGUACUUUCAGCCGGGAGGCGUUACCCGCAGAAUAAGCACCGGCUAACUCCGUGCCAGCAGCCGCGGUAAUAC
rnacentral:rRNA from 1 species